UAGGGAGCGAGCGUUGUCCGGAUUUACUGGGUGUAAAGGGUGCGUAGGCGGAUAGGCAAGUCAGUGGUGAAAACUAUGGGCUUAACCCAUAGAGUGCCAUUGAAACUGCAUAUCUUGAGUGGAGUAGAGGCAGGCGGAAUUCCCGGUGUAGCGGUGAAAUGCGUAGAGAUCGGGAGGAACACCAGUGGCGAAGGCGGCCUGCUGGGCUUUAACUGACGCUGAGGCACGAAAGUGUGGGUAGCAAA
rnacentral:rRNA from 1 species